UUUUAAUAAUAGUUUUAUUAUCUUUUAUUUAUAAAACAACAAAAAAGGUUCCAUAAAUCUAAUAGUGAACAAAUAUGCAUAAAAAAGUAUAUUAACACAGAUUGCAUUGACUGAUGGCAAAAUCAUAGUUCAGUUCAGGUGUAUAUGUUGACAAGUCCGAUUUAAGGCUCGUGCCAUUAAACCAAUCAUUGAAUGUGUAACUUUCAUUGAUUUAAUAGUGUACAGUACCAUAUCCUCUAGGAAAAUUAAAGGAAUCCUGGUUUUAUUAUCUAGAAGUUUAGAUUGCAUUCAGCAAAAAUAAUCGUUUAAAGGUCAUAAUAUUUUAGUAUUAAAAAAAUAAUCCAAACCGUGCAUAUUUUCAGCAUCCACAUCCCAAGGUACCAACCCACACACGUUAUAUGUGUAAUUUUUAUUUUAUGUUUCAAUUCUGUCUUUAAAUGUGGAUUGACCUACGACAAUAGCUGAUGUGCCCUCACUGUUUGAUGAACAAUAAAUAGCAAAAUGACGCAAGAUAUCAGAAUGGAGGUAACGUUAAGGAUCUGAUAAAAUUUAAAGAUGAAAUUGGCUACACCAAAAUAGGACACACAACAGUGAUAUGAGUAUUUAGAGAAAACACUAUAUUGAUAUUAGAAUGAUAGAAAAAGUAUAAAUGCCUCAAGUAACAUCCCAGUGGAAGUGAUAGAAGCACGCAAAGGAGUAUCCCUUAUACAGCUAUUGGCACGGGGCUUACACGUAUAAAUUAAACUUUAGGGAAAACUAGGUUAUCUGCUGAGCCAGGUAUUUUUGUUUUCACCUUGUUUAUUAUAUUUACAAUUUUGCAAGUCAGUUAUCAACUCGCCUUAACUUACUGUUCACAGAUUGAUAAAAAAAAAAGUGUGUCUUGUAUGUGUUUUAUAUGUAGACAAUGGAUUGAUUUCUGCCUUUAAAUUACAUGUGUGACAACGACUUAAAGGGUACCAGUCAUAGCAUGUUAUACUUACCAUAAUCUAAAUCCUCUUCAGGUUUCUUCACUAUAUGGUGCUAGCAAAUGUAUAGAUUACUGUUUGGCUGUGUACAAGCUUAAGGGGUGGAAGGGGAGAGAGGUGUGCCAGAAGUGGGGAAGCCCUAGCAGGCCUCCCAAAGGACAUGGAUCACACCAGUGUUAAUUUUG